rnacentral:misc_RNA from 1 species
GAUGAAGAACGUAGCGAAAUGCGAUACGUAAUGUGAAUUGCAGAAUUCAGUGAAUCAUCGAAUCUUUGAACGCAUAUUGCGCUCUCUGGUAUUCCGGAGAGCAUGCUUGUUUGAGUAUCAGUAAACACCUCAACUUCCAUUUCUUUUUUGAAAUGGGAGUUGGACUUGAGUGAUCCCAACGCUUUUCCUCACCGAAAAGUGGCGGGUUACUUGAAAUGCAGGUGCAGCUGGACUUUUCUCUGAGCUAUAAGCAUAUCUAUUUAGUCUGCCUAAAAAACAGAUUAUUACCUUUGCUGCAGCUAACAUAAAGGAGAUUAGUUCUUGUGCUGACUGAUGCAGGAUUCACAAAGACAGGCUUCGGCCGACUUUGUAAACUCGAUCUCAAAUCAAGUAAGACUACCCGCUGAACUUAAGCAUAUCAAUAAGCGGAGGA